rnacentral:rRNA from 1 species
UACGUAGGUGGCGAGCGUUGUCCGGAUUUACUGGGCGUAAAGGGAGCGUAGGCGGACUUUUAAGUGAGAUGUGAAAUACUCGGGCUCAACUUGAGUGCUACAUUUCAAACUGGAAGUCUAGAGUGCAGGAGAGGAGAAUGGAAUUCCUAGUGUAGCGGUGAAAUGCGUAGAGAUUAGGAAGAACACCAGUGGCGAAGGCGAUUCUCUGGACUGUGACUGACGCUGAGGCUCGAAAGCGUGGGGAGCAAACAGG